rnacentral:rRNA from 1 species
UACACUCCUACGGGAGGCAGCAGUGGGGAAUAUUGCACAAUGGGCGCAAGCCUGAUGCAGCCAUGCCGCGUGUAUGAAGAAGGCCUUCGGGUUGUAAAGUACUUUCAGCGGGGAGGAAGGCGAUAAGGUUAAUAACCUUGUCGAUUGACGUUACCCGCAGAAGAAGCACCGGCUAACUCCGUGCCAGCAGCCGCGGUAAUACGGAGGGUGCAAGCGUUAAUCGGAAUUACUGGGCGUAAAGCGCACGCAGGCGGUCUGUCAAGUCGGAUGUGAAAUCCCCGGGCUCAACCUGGGAACUGCAUUCGAAACUGGCAGGCUAGAGUCUUGUAGAGGGGGGUAGAAUUCCAGGUGUAGCGGUGAAAUGCGUAGAGAUCUGGAGGAAUACCGGUGGCGAAGGCGGCCCCCUGGACAAAGACUGACGCUCAGGUGCGAAAGCGUGGGGAGCAAACAGGAUUAGAAACCCCUGUAGUCCC